rnacentral:rRNA from 1 species
CCUACGGGAGGCAGCAGUGGGGAAUAUUGCGCAAUGGGCGAAAGCCUGACGCAGCGACGCAGCGUGAGGGAUGAAGGCCUUCGGGUUGUAAACCUCUUUCAGCGGGGACGAAGCGAAAGUGACGGUACCCGCAGAAGAAGCACCGGCUAACUACGUGCCAGCAGCCGCGGUAAUACGUAGGGUGCAAGCAUUGUCCGGAUUUAUUGGGCGUAAAGAGCUCGUAGGCGGCUUGUCACGUCGGGUGUGAAAACUUGGGGCUCAACCCCAAGCCUGCACUCGAUACGGGCUAGCUAGAGUGUUGCAGGGGAGACUGGAAUUCCUGGUGUAGCGGUGAAAUGCGCAGAUAUCAGGAGGAACACCGGUGGCGAAGGCGGGUCUCUGGGCAACUACUGACGCUGAGGAGCGAAAGCGUGGGGAGCGAACAGGAUUAGAUACCCCGGGUAGUCCACGCCGUAAACGGUGGGCGCUAGGUGUGGGGAACCUUCCACGUUCUCUGUGCCGCAGCUACGCAUAGCGCCCGCCGUCGGGAGGUACGGCCGCGACGGACGUAAACCUACGAAACGGAAGUUAGACGGCGUGAGACGUCGCCGACGGACGACCGACGAGGGAGGUAGG